GUUACCGAAUGAAAAUUCCAUAUUUUGAUUUCAGUUGAAUUAUCUUUAUGAAGAUGUGUUGAAGGCCUGGUGAGAAUAGAGGAGUCAGAGAACUGGAUUCUGGAAGCUGUGCUUGCUAUCAUCCUUAGUCAUACCAUCCAUCAUCCAGCUACUGAAGCCAACUCCCUGCAACAAAGAGACACUUGUCACAGAUGACUUCUACUCUAUUGCUUCAGGAGUUCUUCAUGUGAGCUCAGAAGUACAUCCCACUGAAUUCAGUGUGAAUUUCUCUACAUGGGCUUAGGAUGGCAGCUCUAAGGUUCUUUGAGUGCCAUGAUACAAUCUAUGGAAAAUAACAACCCAAGGAAAAUAACAACACUGUAUUUUUGCAAUUAUAAGCAUUUCUGCAAUUCUAAUCUUCAAGUUUUCUGUUUUGAUAAUAGCCACUUUGUAAAGUUUAAUUAUGAGGUGCAACUUUUUAGGCUGCCAAAGCAAUAGACAAUGUCCCUAUAUAUUUUAGCUGAUGUGAUUUCAUCAGAUGCUGCAAUUACUGAUUUACAGUCAGUAGUUAAAAAUGUUAUUGAUAUAUGUAUUACUCAGAUAUUCUACUGGGAGAGAACAAAGUCCACAACCAAUUUUCUAGGCCAAGACCUAUACCUGCCCUAGAGUACAAACUCUGGAAAGCUUCACAAAACAUAGUAAUAAGCCAAGAAUUCAAGAGAAUACUAACUCCAUGGCUAUAACAGAAGUUGGAAGAAUAAUCUUUUCUUCCAUAUAUGUAUACAAAAGAACAAAGAAGGUGUUAAACUAGUGAACUUUGUUUCUUGACAUGCUGUCUUUAGGAGACAUAAAUCAUAGUCUGCAGUCUCCUAAUAAUGGUAAAUAAGAUCCUUACAGCAUUAUAGGGAUCCUUAUAGCAUUAUAGGGAUAUUUAUUGUCCAUAAUGUCUUCAAUUUUGUUUUCAGUUUAUAAGUUCCCUCUACAGUAAUUAGCUUGAGAGA